GAUGAACGCUGGCGGCGUGCCUAAUACAUGCAAGUCGAGCGAACGGACGAGAAGCUUGCUUCUCUGAUGUUAGCGGCGGACGGGUGAGUAACACGUGGAUAACCUACCUAUAAGACUGGGAUAACUUCGGGAAACCGGAGCUAAUACCGGAUAAUAUUUUGAACCGCAUGGUUCAAAAGUGAAGGACGGUCUUGCUGUCACUUAUAGAUGGAUCCGCGCUGCAUUAGCUAGUUGGUAAGGUAACGGCUUACCAAGGCAACGAUGCAUAGCCGACCUGAGAGGGUGAUCGGCCACACUGGAACUGAGACACGGUCCAGACUCCUACGGGAGGCAGCAGUAGGGAAUCUUCCGCAAUGGGCGGAAGCCUGACGGAGCAACGCCGCGUGAGUGAUGAAGGUCUUCGGAUCGUAAAACUCUGUUAUUAGGGAAGAACAUAUGUGUAAGUAACUGUGCACAUCUUGACGGUACCUAAUCAGAAAGCCACGGCUAACUACGUG
rnacentral:rRNA from 1 species